GGGAAGGAAAGGGCUGGCAUCACCACACAGGCUUUCGAGGUCGCCAUCCACUUUCCCGCUCUCCAGCUUCUCACCGCCAGGAGAAAACGAGAAGAGAUUUGAGGACUCUUGGGCAUUUUUCGGUUUCCCCAGAAAGGGAUUGUAUUUAUUUGCAUCGAGGUGGAACCAGGAAACGACUCCUGCCCAUAUUUGGAAGAGACUUCCUGUCUCCCAGGAAACAACUAGAGCUGGGGACCGAACCCAGGACCUUGCGCUUCCUAGGUUCUCCGUGUUCCAAACCAGCUGCAGCUGCACGUCCUAAUUGUAUGUCAGAGCCCGUGUGUCUUUUGGGGGGAACACUGUGGGAGAAGAAAUGCUGAAAUCUC
rnacentral:lncRNA from 1 species